rnacentral:antisense_RNA from 1 species
GUGUGUCAAUUGCUGUGACUGUGUGGCAGCUUGCCCAUCUCCUGAGAGCCCUUGGGAAAGUGAAGGACAAUAUAUAAGGACUCCAAUCACUGAAAAGCUAAGUAUUAAGUUUUUCCUUGCCACUGUUGACCCAGGUUUGUUGUACAGAUUGCAGACCUGCAGAUGGAUACCUUGUUCCUGGUUCAGUGCUGCCCAGGCUCCUCUACUGGGGGACCCUAUCCCUUGCUCCUCAUAGUCCUGAUUUCUAGGACCAUAACCCUAUUAUAAUUAAAAUCCCAGCAUUAGCAUAGGCUCCUGGCUACAACCUUUGCCCUACUUAUUGUAUGGAAUUUGCUAAUGCCUUUGCUAUCCAUUCCAACACCAGGCCUGGACAGCACCAAGCUGCCCUGCUUGCAGCUGAAAAACUUUUAACUUAAUAGUCUUUGAAGUUUUGUCAUAACAGUGUUAAAUAGUACUCUAUACUGUAUCUGUCUUUUGAACUGUAUGCAAAAGAAGUUACAUUAAAUAUAUUUUAUAGAAAUAUGUGCACUUUUUAUCUGACACUUGAUUGCUCACCCCUAAGGACAUCAUUCCUGUUGACCUAAACUAGUACAUCUAUUUGCAGUAGGAGAAGUGGUUUUGGAGAAAAUCACCCAUCUCCUCAGAACUGGUCUUACAAGUCUAUGAAGUAACACUAUGUGCCAUAGCCUAAUCACUCAUAUAUGACAAAGAGAACACCAAAUAAGCAUAUUUCCAGCAGGAAAUGACCAGUGCUUUGGUUAAGAAUGCACAUUAUACUGCAGUUCUUUAGGGAAUUAAGCCACCCUUGACUGAGGUAUUAUGCCAACUCUCACUCUGUGAAUCCACUGACUGAGGAACAUUGUUUAAGAAAAUCACAUGGCUGUGCCAACAAGCAAGGAGACACGGCAGAGAAGACAGAGGCAGAAGCAGCUUUACUGAAAAACAGAGCAUGAGUAGAACGACUUCAAAUCCCACAUGGCACCACAGUGAGAAGUAACUUCCUCUGAGCUUCUUAGAGAAUCCAACAAUGUCCUGCUCCCUUGGGGAGCUGCAGCCAUGGGCACAUGGGCAUAGUGCUUCCACCAAGAGUCCCGUCAGUCACAGCAACAGGAGGUCUUCCUCAGACAACUUUGAUGAUAGUGGUUGUUAGACAGAGCAAGCUAGAACCAGAAAGAAAAACUAUGAAGAUGCCACAGUGGGAGUCUGAGCACCUUGAGGCCUCCUGUUGGAAACUGGCAAACCUAACUGUGGGACACUUGGAUGCUGAGUUCUGGUAAACAUGCUGUGGGAGGCACGGUAAUUUAGUCAUUAACAUUUAAAAAUGAUCUAAUUCUAUAUACAUACUCUGUUGAAGACUUCUUCCAACCACCUUGUAUUAUAAAUUUAAAAUAUGAAAUACAAACUCUUUAUGUGUCUUGACUCAGAUUACCUAGGAAGGGACAGUGACCUAUUCAUCAAUGUUUAGAAUUAGAGUAAGUUAUAGAAUAUAGUCUGAAAAAAUUACUUGGACCAAGAAAGCAAUGUCCCUGACAUUCAUCAAUCUAGAACCAGAGCUGCAGAUUAAGCUAGGUGCAAAUUUAUCAGAAAACAAUAUUUUUCCCAAAUACAUAUUGCAGCCAUAAAAUGCCCUAAAAACCCAGUUCUUAGAGGGACUAUUGCUUACUUACUGAAAAAUUUUAUUCUCUGAAAUCACAGACUAUCAGAUGCAUUGCUGUUUAAAAUUAUUGCAAUAAGAAUGAAACAUCUCACUCUUAUCUGGAGGAGUUAAGUCAUUGUGAUCAGUGAAGCCUUGAUUUACAGCUCCUGUGCAAAGCUUCAGAGAAUGGGUCUCAGGACACAACAUUUGACAUCUAUUUUGACUUCAUUUCCAAGAAAACAGGACUGCUAUGGUUUGAAUGUUUGUCUCCCCCAAACCAAUGUGUUGGCGGUGGGGCCUAAUGGGAGAUGUUUGGGUUAUCAGGGUGGAUCCCUCAUGAAUAGAUUAAUGCUCUCCCUGGGGUAGGGAGCAGUGAGUGAGUUCUUGCUUUAUUCAUUCUCAAGAGAGCUGGUUGUUAAACAGAGCCUGGCACCUCCCUCCUCUCUCCUCCCUCCUUGCUUUCUCUCUCACUGUAUGAUCUCGGCAAAAACACCUCCCCUCACCUUCUGCCAUGAGUGGAAGCAGCCUGAGCCUCUCACCAGGAGCAGAUGCUGGUGCCAUGCUUCUUGUACAGCUUGCAGAACAGUGAGCCAAAUAAACCUCUUUUCCUUAGAGAUUGCACAGCCUCAAAUGUUCCUCUAGAGCAACACAAAAUGGACUAAGACAAGAACCUUAGGUCCAUUUCACAGUACAGAGCUGAGGUUGACCCUUUUUAUACACAACCAUAUUUCUUAGAGCCCAUAGAAUAUCACUUCAUUUACAUCACACCUAAAUUCCACUCUUUAGCAAAAUCCUAUGUUAACUCUAUAUUUUCCUUUGUUUGAUGAGAUACACCACAAUUGCUCUGUUGUGCAGUCCCCACACUGCAAUGAGUCAGUAAACUCAAUUGGUUUGUUUACAGGUUGUCCCUGGUGGUUUCAGGCUGAUUGGGCUAAGACAAACCAUGUCUUAUUUUUUAAAUGUCUCCUUUAAGCAAAUGUUAUUAUCUAUAUUUUACUCUAUUCCAUAAGCAGAAGUAACAAAGUAGUCUAAUUGCACCAAAAGAUGCUUAUAGCAUAAAACUUUCUAUGCUGUAAACAUAGAAAGUUCUUG